rnacentral:rRNA from 1 species
UACGGGGGGGGCAAGCGUUGUUCGGAAUUACUGGGCGUAAAGGGCUCGUAGGUGGCCAACUAAGUCAGACGUGAAAUCCCUCGGCUUAACCGGGGAACUGCGUCCGAUACUGGAUGACUUGAGUUCGGGAGAGGGAUGCGGAAUUCCAGGUGUAGCGGUGAAAUGCGUAGAUAUCUGGAGGAACACCGGUGGCGAAGGCGACAUCCUGGACCAACACUGACGCUGAGUGAGCGAAAGCCAGGGGAGCAAACGGG